AUGAACGCUGGCGGCGUGCCUAAUACAUGCACGUCGAGCGCACGGACGAGAAGCUUGCUUCUCUGAUGUUAGCGGCGGACGGGUGAGUAACACGUGGAUAACCUACCUAUAAGACUGGGAUAACUUCGGGAAACCGGAGCUAAUACCGGAUAAUAUUUUGAACCGCAUGGUUCAAAAGUGAAAGACGGUCUUGCUGUCACUUAUAGAUGGAUCCGCGCUGCAUUAGCUAGUUGGUAAGGUAACGGCUUACCAAGGCAACGAUGCAUAGCCGACCUGAGAGGGUGAUCGGCCACACUGGAACUGAGACACGGUCCAGACUCCUACGGGAGGCAGCAGUAGGGAAUCUUCCGCAAUGGGCGAAAGCCUGACGGAGCAACGCCGCGUGAGUGAUGAAGGUCUUCGGAUCGUAAAACUCUGUUAUUAGGGAAGAACAUAUGUGUAAGUAACUGUGCACAUCUUGACGGUACCUAAGCAGAAAGCCACGGCUAACUACGU
rnacentral:rRNA from 1 species